CCUACGGGAGGCUGCAGUAGGGAAUUUUCGGCAAUGGGGGGAACCCUGACCGAGCAACGCCGCGUGAACGAAGAAGUUAUUCGUAAUGUAAAGUUCUUUUAACCGGGAAGAAAGAGAAAUUGGACGGUACCUGAAGAAUAAGCUACGGCUAAAUACGUGCCAGCAGCCGCGGUAAGACGUAGGGAGCGAGCGUUAUCCGGAAUUAUUGGGCGGAAAGGUUGCGUAGAUGGCAUAGUAAGUCUUUUGUAAAAAUACUGGGCUCAACCCAGUAGGGCAAAAGAUACUGCAAAGCUAGAGUAUGACAGAGGCAUGUGGAACUACAUGUGUAGCGGUAAAAUGCGUAAAUAUAUGUCAGAACACCAGUGGCGAAGGCAGCUUGCUGGGUCGAUACUGACAUUGAGGCACGAAAGCGUGGGUAGCGAACAGGAUUAGAUACCCCUGUAGUC
rnacentral:rRNA from 1 species